CAGCAAUGGAGAGUGGCAGACGGGUGAGUAACGCGUGGGAACCUUCCCUAUGGUUCGGAGUAGCUCAGGGAAACUUGAGGUAAUACCGGAUAAGCCCUUCGGGGGAAAGAUUUAUCGCCAUUGGAUGGGCCCGCGUAGGAUUAGCUAGUUGGUGAGGUAACGGCUCACCAAGGCGACGAUCCUUAGCUGGUCUGAGAGGAUGAUCAGCCACACUGGGACUGAGACACGGCCCAGACUCCUACGGGAGGCAGCAGUGGGGAAUAUUGGACAAUGGGCGCAAGCCUGAUCCAGCCAUGCCGCGUGAGUGACGAAGGCCUUAGGG
rnacentral:rRNA from 1 species